rnacentral:rRNA from 1 species
GUUCUGAGAGGAAGAUCAGCCACACUGGGACUGAGACACGGCCCAGACUCCUACGGGAGGCAGCAGUGGGGAAUAUUGCACAAUGGGGGAAACCCUGAUGCAGCCAUGCCGCGUGUGUGAAGAAGGCCUUCGGGUUGUAAAGCACUUUCAGUUGUGAGGAAAAGUUAGUAGUUAAUACCUGCUAGCCGUGACGUUAACAACAGAAGAAGCACCGGCUAACUCCGUGCCAGCAGCCGCGGUAAUACGGAGGGUGCGAGCGUUAAUCGGAAUUACUGGGCGUAAAGCGCACGCAGGCGGUUUGUUAAGCUAGAUGUGAAAGCCCCGGGCUCAACCUGGGAUGGUCAUUUAGAACUGGCAGACUAGAGUCUUGGAGAGGGGAGUGGAAUUCCAGGUGUAGCGGUGAAAUGCGUAGAUAUCUGGAGGAACAUCAGUGGCGAAGGCGACUCCCUGGCCAAAGACUGACGCUCAUGUGCGAAAGUGUGGGUAGCGAACAGGAUUAGAUACCCUGGUAGUCCACACCGUAAACGCUGUCUACUAGCUGUGUGUG